CUGAGCCACCCAGGCGCCCCUGUUGCAGCUUUUCAAAUUAAUUAUCAUGACAGAGGUUAUUUUUUGGACUCAACACAAUUCUGAAAUUUCUGACAAUAUUCUGAGUCUUUCUCCAGUACAAAUCCUGUUUCUUCUAUUAUAUCUUCAAGAUGAAAAACCUACAUAGAUUAAGAAUGCUGUUGCUGCUGCUGCUGCUGCUGUUUCAAUUUGUUCAGAAGUUUGGCAAUAAAAAGAUCACGUGGCUUAUUGGUUUCCAUUUUAUUUAAUUCUUCCUUUUUCUUUUCUGCAUCACUCCACUCCAACCAAACAUCUCGGUUAACAAAGUACAGAUGAGAAGCAUCAAUGCACAAGGUGAAGAUAAGGGCAUGUAUAAUGCUGCUAUGAAACACAACUGUUAACAUGAAUGGAAAAGAGAUCAACUAAGGCAGCAAAUCGAGCUGAAGUCUGGAACCACUUUGUGUGGAACACACUGAUACACUGUAAACAGAAGCGUUAGCUGUCUGUACCUCCUGUUCACCCAAAUCACACUCAUUCUUCCAUCAUUCCUAUUUCUGCCAUUGAUACCACUGUCCCUCCACCUGCAAAUCUCUUGCUGUGUUGAGCUCAUUAACUUCUUUAUUCAGUAAACCAAGACUUUCUAUUGGUUCUUGCUUUAAAUGUUUCUGUUGCCUUCCAAUUCCAAUACCAAUUUGGAGCCUUAUUAUUUCAUACCUGAGGAAGUGCAAAAGCUACCAAAUGGCUUCCCUAUCCUUUCCAAAUCACCUUGAACGCUACUAAAUAUUCCAAACCACUUUAAGCACUUUAAUUUUGACCUAAAAUACCAAAUUCUUGUAACUCACCUGCCCCCAACUUUGAGAAGCUCUUCCCAAGAAAAAAAAGUCAAAUUCAUUUUUUGGGGAUCAAAAUCUUCUGGUCUCAGCUAAACUCACUUGUUUACUCCUUCCUGUCAGUACUCAUCUACAUUUUAUACUCUGUAUAUAUUGAUAUAUUGUUUAAUACCCAAAGGCUCAUUGCACAAUCCACUUCUGUACACUGUUCACACUAUUUUACCCAUAUGGAUCAUCUUCCCUUUACUGCCCAUGCACACUUUGCACCCUUCAAGUUCCCCCUCUCUUCUUGCAGUCUUGACCAAAUGUUCUAAUCAGAAGAGACCUCUUCUUUGACCCUUAAUGGAGACUCAUACUGUCCUAAGUUCUUUUUGCUUAUAUUAGUUUAAUAUAGGCACAGAGUUUAAAAAAUACGUAUAGGAUACAGAAGAGUAUAAAAAAAGAAGUGUCCCUCUCAUUCUACCACCCCAGUCCUAAUCACUAAUAAUAGCUUCUCGUGUAUCUUUCCAUAUCUUUUCUGUGCAUAUAGAAUGAAAAUACACAUAUAUUUUUUUCUUUUACACAAAUGGGUUCAUCAUACUACACAUGGUGUUUUGCAACUUCCGUUUUCUCUUUCUAAACCAAUUUUAUUAAGGUAUGAUUUACAUAUAACAUAAUACACCCAUUUAGGUAUACAGGUGAAUGUGUUUCAUAAAUAUAUAUAUUGAUUUAACCAUCAUCCUAAUCAAGAUAAAAAACAUUCCUACCAUCCCCAAAAGUUUCCUCAUGCUGACUUACAGUCAAUCCUCUUUCCCUAUCCUUGGACUCAAGCAACUACUGAUCUGCCUUU